rnacentral:rRNA from 1 species
UACGUAGGUGGCAAGUGUUGUCCGGAUUUAUUGGGUUUAAAGGGUGCGUAGGCGGUCCUAUAAGUCAGUGCUGAAAUAUCCCGGCUUAACCGGGAGGGUGGCAUUGAUACUGCAGGACUUGAGUAAAGUUGAGGUAGGCGGAAUUGACGGUGUAGCGGUGAAAUGCUUAGAUAUCGUCAAGAACACCGAUAGUGAAGACAGCUUACUAAACUUUAACUGACGCUGAGGCACGAAAGUGUGGGGAUCAAACAGG